GAACCCUCCGUGCCAGAACCCCUUCCAGCACCUCACAUCACCAAUGACAUCCUGGGGGAAGCGCUCACUGAGGAACCCUCCAUGCCAGAACCACUUCCAGCACCUCGCAUGACCAAUGACAUCUUGGGGAAGAGCUCACUGAGGAACCCUCCGUGCCAGAACCCCUUCCAGCACCUCACAUCACCAAUGACAUCCUGGAGGAAGAGCUCACUGAGGAACCCUCCAUGACAGAACCCCUUCCAGCACCUCACAUCACCAAUGACAUCCUGGGGGAAGAGCUCAUUGAGGAAACCUCAAUGCCAGAACCCCUUCCAACACCUUGCAUCACCAAUGACCUACUGGGGAAAGUGCUCAUUGAGGCUACCUCAGUGCCAGGUCCUUCCAUCCUCACAGACACUCCAAAGGAAGCAGCUUCUGUGCCAGAGCCCUUACUAGAGCCUUCCAUUGCUGAUAAUUAUCUUCAGCAAGAAGUAGAACUCCUCAAAGGGUUACAGCAUGACUAUGUCCAGCAGUAACUGAGGGUUCGCCGCAUUUCCCAACAGUUCCCUCGUUCUCUCCGGGCCAUCAACCUGCAAAUUGGACACAUGCGGACAAGGCUCAUCCGCAGUGAAGUUUAGCUGCAGCGGUGGGAAAGGGAAGGUAUGUUCACAGCAUGCCCCUGAAAUUGCUGCUGGGCUAAGAACGGCUCUUUUGUUUAUUUCAUGUUGAAAUGCUUGAUUUGAGUCUGCAUCUAAGGUUUCAGGGGGGAGGCCUGUGAGUGGGUUGUCAGUGCUUGCUGAAGUGUUCCUUCGUUUUCUGUCUUUCAUGUGUCCAAGCUCCAGUGCCUGUAAUCCAAGCAGCUUCUCAGAGUGAGCAGUGAGGGCAAGUGAUGGUGGGUGUGGUAGGAUGUCACCCUUUGCAGCUGACCUCCUGCUUCUUCUUCUCUCUUGCAGAUGUUCCUGCAGGCCCUGCUGCACUUCUCCAGCCCUCUGGGUCUGAUUCAUCAUUGUCCUCUGCCUCCCUUGAGGUUGCCUCCAUCCCACCCUCCACCUCCUCCUCCUUCCCCACCUCCUCUGGAGCCGGACCUCAGCAAUGUGAAAGAAACUCUGCAGAGUUUGGUAGAGAUGCAGGUCCAUCAGCUGCGUGACCCACCUCUGCUGAGCUGACUGGAAGAACUGCAGGCACAAGCAAGCAACCAGCGCUUAGUAGCAAGCCUUCUAAUGCCAAAGAGACCUCUGCAGCUGUCAGGAAUGCUUACAAAGCUUCAAGGCACUGAGGGGACAAUUGAGGCGGCUAAGGAGCAGACUGGCCAGGGUGGAAGCCACUAUGGGGAUCGUGGUUCCUCCAAGGGAGCUGGACGUUGCUGAGGAAGAAGGGGAAGGCAAAUUAAAAGAGACAACUGUGCUACUAUUUACAUAAGUAGCAAUAAAAUGCUGUGUAUAUAUUUUUAAAAUAUUAAAUAUUUGUUUUAAUAGGAUGUAGAGAUAGAACAGCAAUAAAACUAGCAUAUUUAUUGUUUUAAAAAAUAAAAUGUUUUAUUUUAA